rnacentral:rRNA from 1 species
AGAGAUGUGUGAUGACUGCAUAUCAAUAAGCGGAGGAAAAGAAACUAACUAGGAUUCCCUCAGUAACGGCGAGUGAAGCGGGAAGAGCUCAAAUUUGAAAUCUUCAAGGUUUUACCUUGACGAAUUGUAGUUUAAAGAAGUGUUUUCUGUUGGUGUUUUGGUAAAAGUUCUUUGGAAUAGGACAUCAUAGAGGGUGAGAAUCCCGUAUUUGACCAUUACUUCCAGCGUUGUGAUACACUUUCAAAGAGUCGGAUUGUUUGGGAAUGCAGUCCAAAAUGGGUGGUAAAUUUCAUCUAAAGCUAAAUAUUGGCGAGAGACCGAUAGCGAACAAGUACCGUGAGGGAAAGAUGAAAAGAACUUUGAAAAGAGAGUUAAACAGUACGUGAAAUUGUCAAAAGGGAAGCGUUUGACACCAGUGUUGUUUUCUCGAAAAUCAAUUAAAAAGUAUGGGAUUUUGUAUUGUUAAGACCUUAUCAGCUUACGGUACUUUUUUCUUAUUCUUUUUAAUGCACUUUUCGUUUAACAAGUCAACAUCAAUUUCUUUUGUUGUAAAAGAGUCAUUGGAAGGUGGCUUUCACUUCGGUGAAAGUGUUUAUAGCCUUUGGCUUCUGCAAUCGGAGAGAUUGAGGUCUGCAGCGUAGAUCCUUCGGGGUUAGAUACGUAGAUGCUAAGUUAUAGUUUUUCAUAGACAACUUGUUGACUAUGAUUAAUCAUGUAGCUUACUCGUUUGCGCUAUUUUACCUACGCUUAGGAUGUUGAGUCGUAGAGCACGCAG